rnacentral:rRNA from 1 species
UACAAAGGUCUCAAGCGUUGUUCGGAUUCAUUGGGCGUAAAGGGUGCGUAGGCGGUGCGGUAAGUCGGGCGUGAAAUCUCGGAGCUUAACUCCGAAACUGCAUUCGAUACUGCCGUGCUUGAGGACUGGAGAGGAGACUGGAAUUUACGGUGUAGCGGUGAAAUGCGUAGAUAUCGUAAGGAAGACCAGUGGCGAAGGCGGGUCUCUGGACAGUUCCUGACGCUGAGGCACGAAGGUCAGGGAAGCAAACGGG